rnacentral:ncRNA from 1 species
GCCAGCCGCAUGCGGGGAAACCCGCACGUACGGUUUUUAGGGGGACAUGGUCGAAAAACCGGCUGGCACCCACCCGAC